rnacentral:sRNA from 1 species
UGUUGUUUCUUCUUUUUG